GACGAACCGUGCGAACGUUGUUCGGAAUCACUGGGCUUAAAGGGCGCGUAGGCGGGCUAUCAAGUCUGGGGUGAAAUGUCGCGGCUCAACCGCGGAACUGCCUUCGAUACUGACGGCCUAGAGGAAGGUAGGGGCAUGCGGAACUGUGAGUGGAGCGGUGAAAUGCGUUGAUAUUCACAGGAACUCCGGUGGCGAAGGCGGCGUGCUGGACCUUUUCUGACGCUGAGGCGCGAAAGCUAGGGGAGCAAACGGG
rnacentral:rRNA from 1 species